ACUCGUAGUGUUAAUCAUUAAUUGCACUCCUUCCCGUGUGAUUACCUAUACUUAAUAUCCGAAACACACGACGAAAACAAGAUCGCUAAAAAUGGUGUUAUUAAGCGGCUCAAGUCGCCGAAAGUCCAUAGCGUGUCAAAUACGUCUAGCAUCGUUUAAAUUGCUUUGCAAAAUUUCUUGACACUUGAUUUUAUUUGCCCAUAUAAAGCAAAAUAUAUUUAAAAUGUAUAUUUGUACAAACAUCACGUGAGCUAUCAACCAAUAUGCGCCCCUAUAAUGUGACGCUUGAUAAACGAGAGCCGAAGGCACGAGCCGAGCGCCGCAGAUGCGAGGUGUUCCUAGGGGGUCCGGGGGCAUGCACCCCCGGAAAAUUUUUAAACUAGAGUCUGAAAUGCUAUUUCC